CUGCUCCUCAUCCCUGUGGCCAGAUUUUCACCUGACGGCCAGGACACUCCCUGGGUUUGAUGUCUCUCUUAAGAGGCUGAGCCCUGACUGAGGAAUGGUUGGGGCCUGACCAAGCCGGGGCCCAGCUCCCCAAGCAUCCACUCCUUUUGCAGGGCUUGAGUGGGUCUUCCCCUAAAAUUCCCUGCGGCUUGGUGGACAGCAACCUUCUCCCAUGACUAAUAGCUCUUAACUUGCACUGGC